UCCAGUGAAGGUCUUCAUCAUCUAUUCAUUUCUCAUGCUUGCAAUUGGCUGACUUUUUAGCAGAGACAAGUGGCAAAAAUCAAAAACCUUCCAGAUUCAUCGAGCAUCUUCUAUGCGUCUAUCUGAGCAAGAGACUUGUCCAGCUGAACUUACUCCACAUCUCCCAUUGUCACGCUCUUGCUUCCUUCAGCCCCUUUCCUGCCUGUUCCGGGAAGACCUUCCACAACAGAGCCCGCAGCCUUUCCAGCUCUCAGCCAUGCACCUGCUGCUCCUCCCUGUGCUGGGGAUGCAUUUUAUGCUGCGAGACGCCGGAGCCCAGUCAGUGACUCAGCCUGAUGCCCAUGUCACUGUCUCUGAAGCAGCAGCUCUGGAGUUGAGAUGCACCUAUUCCUAUGGUGGAACACCGUAUCUCUUCUGGUACGUCCAGUAUCCCAGCCAGAGCCCCCAGCUUCUCCUUAAGUACUUUUCAGGAGACUCCUUGGUUCAAGGCGUGAAAGGCUUUCAGGCUGAGUUUAAGAAGACCAACUCUUCCUUCCACCUGAGGAAAGCCUCUGUGCAUUGGAGCGACUCUGCUAUGUACUUCUGUGCUUUGAGUGACACAGUGUCUGAGGCUGCAGGGGGAGCUGAACACAAACACCCAUGACGGUUGAGUUCUCAGAC